rnacentral:rRNA from 1 species
GACGAACGCUGGCGGCGUGCUUAACACAUGCAAGUCGAACGAUGAAGCCGGAGCUUGCUCUGGUGAAUUAGUGGCGGACGGGUGAGUAACACGUGAGUAACCUGCCCUUGACUCUGGGAUAACUGCGGGAAACUGUAGCUAAUACCGGAUACGACCCUCGGAGGCAUCUCCUGGGGGUGGAAAGAAUUUCGGGCAAGGAUGGACUCGCGGCCUAUCAGCUAGUUGGUGAGGUAAAGGCUCACCAAGGCGACGACGGGUAGCCGGCCUGAGAGGGUGACCGGCCACACUGGGACUGAGACACGGCCCAGACUCCUACGGGAGGCAGCAGUGGGGGAUAUUGCACAAUGGGCGCAAGCCUGAUGCAGCAACGCCGCGUGAGGGAUGACGGCCUUCGGGUUGUAAACCUCUUUUAGUAGGGAAGAAGCGAAAGUGACGGUACCUGCAGAAAAAGCACCGGCUAACUACGUGCCAGCCGCCGCCGUAA